rnacentral:rRNA from 1 species
UACGUAGGGAGCAAGCGUUGUCCGGAAUUACUGGGCGUAAAGGGCGCGUAGGUGGGCCUUUAAGUCAGGUGUGAAAACUCUGGGCUUAACCUGGAGACUGCACUUGAAACUGGGGGUCUUGAGGGCAGGAGAGGAAAGUGGAAUUCCUAGUGUAGCGGUGAAAUGCGUAGAUAUUAGGAGGAACACCAGUGGCGAAGGCGACUUUCUGGACUGAACCUGACGCUGAGGCGCGAAAGCGUGGGUAGCAAACG